UUACGUUGAGCUUCUUCAAUGAAGCUGCAGUCAGACCCACGCCAGGCAACGGGGGCAUGGG
rfam:Synechococcus sp. WH 8102 complete genome.